UACGUAGGGCGCAAGCGUUGUCCGGAAUUAUUGGGCGUAAAGAGCUCGUAGGCGGUCUGUCGCGUCCGUUGUGAAAACUCGAGGCUCAACCUCGGGCUUGCAGUGGAUACGGGGCAGACUAGAGUGCGGUAGGGGAGACUGGAAUUCCUGGUGUAGCGGUGGAAUGCGCAGAUAUCAGGAGGAACACCGAUGGCGAAGGCAGGUCUCUGGGCAUUAACUGACGCUGAGGAGCGAAAAGCAUGGGGGAGCGAACAGG
rnacentral:rRNA from 1 species